GAUGAACGCUGGCGGCGUGCCUAAUACAUGCAAGUCGAGCGAACGGACGAGAAGCUUGCUUCUCUGAUGUUAGCGGCGGACGGGUGAGUAACACGUGGAUAACCUACCUAUAAGACUGGGAUAACUUCGGGAAACCGGAGCUAAUACCGGAUAAUAUUUUGAACCGCAUGGUUCAAAAGUGAAAGACGGUCUUGCUGUCACUUAUAGAUGGAUCCGCGCUGCAUUAGCUAGUUGGUAAGGUAACGGCUUACCAAGGCAACGAUGCAUAGCCGACCUGAGAGGGUGAUCGGACACACUGGAAAUGAGACACGGUCCAGACUCCUACGGGAGACAGCAGUAGGGAAUCUUCCGCAAUGGGCGAAUGCCUUGCGGAGCAACGCCGCGUGAGUAAUGAAGGUCUUCGGAUCGUAAAACUCUGUUAUUAGGGAAGAACAUAUGUGUAAGUAACUGUGCACAUCUUGACGGUACCUAAUCAGAAAGCCACGGCUAACUACGUG
rnacentral:rRNA from 1 species